GAUGAACGCUAGCGGCAGGCCCAAUACAUGCAAGUCGGACGGGAUUUGGGAGCUUGCUCCCAAUGAGAGUGGCGCACGGGUGCGUAACACGUAUGUAACCUACCUUAAUCAGGGGGAUAGCCUCUCGAAAGAGAGAUUAACACCGCAUAAUAUAUUUUUAUGGCAUCGUAGAAAUAUCAAAUAUUUAUAGGAUUAAGAUGGGCAUGCGGAACAUUAGCUAGUUGGUAAGGUAACGGCUUACCAAGGCUACGAUGUUUAGGGGAUCUGAGAGGAUGACCCCCCACACUGGUACUGAGACACGUACCAGACUCCUACGGGAGGCAGCAGUAAGGAAUAUUGGUCAAUGGGCGCAAGCCUGAACCAGCCAUGCCGCGUGCAGGAAGACGGCCCUAUGGGUUGUAAACUGCUUUUGUACCGGAAUAAACCCUUUUACGUGUAAAAGGCUGAAUGUACGGUAAGAAUAAGGAUCGGCCAACUCCGUGCCAGCCGCCGCCGUAA
rnacentral:rRNA from 1 species